rnacentral:rRNA from 1 species
UACGGAGGGGGCUAGCGUUGUUCGGAAUUACUGGGCGUAAAGCGUACGUAGGCGGCUUUGUAAGUUAGAGGUGAAAGCCCGGGGCUCAACUCCGGAAUUGCCUUUAAGACUGCAUCGCUUGAAUCAUGGAGAGGUGAGUGGAAUUCCGAGUGUAGAGGUGAAAUUCGUAGAUAUUCGGAAGAACACCAGUGGCGAAGGCGACUCACUGGCCCGAAACUGACGCUGAGGUGCGAAAGCGUGGGGAGCAAACAGG